rnacentral:pre_miRNA from 1 species
CUUGGAGGGGGGGGGUCCCUCUGUCUAGAUUGUGAGAGGACACAGGCCAGGCCGAGGGACUCCACUGGUGUACA